rnacentral:rRNA from 1 species
AUUGAACGCUGGCGGCAGGCCUAACACAUGCAAGUCGAGCGGUAGAGAGGUGCUUGCACCUCUUGAGAGCGGCGGACGGGUGAGUAAUGCCUAGGAAUCUGCCUGGUAGUGGGGGAUAACGCUCGGAAACGGACGCUAAUACCGCAUACGUCCUACGGGAGAAAGCAGGGGACCUUCGGGCCUUGCGCCAUCAGAUGAGC